GAUGAACGCUGGCGGCGUGCCUAAUACAUGCCAGUCGAGCGAACGGACGAGAAGCUUGCUUUUCUGAUGUUAGCGGCGGACGGGUGAGUAGCACGUGGAUAACCUACCUAUAAGACUGGGAUAACUUCGGGAAACCGGAGCUAAUACCGGAUAAUAUUUUGAACCGCAUGGUUCAAAAGUGAAAGACGGUCUUGCUGUCACUUAUAGAUGGAUCCGCGCUGCAUUAGCUAGUUGGUAAGGUAACGGCUUACCAAGGCAACGAUGCAUAGCCGACCUGAGAGGGUGAUCGGCCACACUGGAACUGAGACACGGUCCAGACUCCUACGGGAGGCAGCAGUAGGGAAUCUUCCGCAAUGGGCGAAAGCCUGACGGAGCAACGCCGCGUGAGUGAUGAAGGUCUUCGGAUCGUAAAACUCUGUUAUUAGGGAAGAACAUAUGUGUAAGUAACUGUGCACAUCUUGACGGUACCUAAUCAGAAAGCCACGGCUAACUACGUG
rnacentral:rRNA from 1 species